rnacentral:misc_RNA from 1 species
UAUAUAUUAUAUUAUAUUAUAUUAUAUAUACACCCUUCUCCUCUCUUUUUCCCCCUACUCGCUUAUCGCUUGGGGGCUUGUCUCUAUUUGAGUGAGUGUGAGUGAGUGAGAGAGACACUCUCGUUUCUUUGUCAUGUGUGUUUGUGUGUUUUGUGUGUUUGUGUUUGUGUGUAUUUGUGUUUGUGUGUUUUGUGUUUGUGCACACAAAACACACACGAAUACACAAAUACACAAAUACACACACACACAAACACACAAAACACACAAACACACAAACAAACACACAAAACACACAAACAAACAAACACACAAACAAACAAACACAAACAAACAAACAAACACAAACACACACACACACACACACAUCUGCUCGGGGGCUUGGCCCAACGACUUGGCGUUUUUCGACGGGUCGUGCGGAAAAUAGGGGUCCGUUGUGUGUUUUUGUGUUUGUGUGUUUGUGUGUGUUUGUGUUUGUGUGUUUUGUGUUUUGUGUUUGUGCACAAACACACACACACAAACACAUCUGCUUGGGGGCUUGGCCCAACGACUUGGCAUUUUUCGAUGGGUCGUGCGGAAAAUAGGGGUCCGUUGUGUUUGUUUGUGUUUUUGUGUUUGUGUGUUUGUGCACACACAAAACAUGUUUGCUUGGGGGCUUGGCCCAACGACUUGGCAUUUUUCGGCGGGUCGUGCGGAAAAUAGGGGUCCGUUGUGUUUUUGUGUUUGUGUGUUUUUGUGUUUUUGUGUUUUUGUGUUUGUGUGUGUUUUUGUGUUUGUGUGUGUUUGUGUUUGUGUGUUUGUGCACACAAAACAUGUUUGCUUGGGGGCUUGGCCCAACGACUUGGCAUUUUUCGACGGGUCGUGCGGAAAAAUAGGGGUCCGUUGUGUGUUUUUGUGUUUGUGUUUUUGUGUUUGUUUUUGUGUUUGUGUGUGUUUGUGUUUGUGUGUUUGUGCACACAAAACAUGUUUGCUUGGGGGCUUGGCCCAACGACUUGGCAUUUUUCGACGGGUCGUGCGGAAAAUGGGGGUCCGUUGUGUUUUUGUGUUUUUGUGUUUGUGCACACACAAAACAUGUUUGCUUGGGGGCUUGGCCCAACGACUUGGCAUUUUUCGACGGGUCGUGCGGAAAAAUAGGGGUCCGUUGUGUGUUUUUUGUGUUUGUUUGUGUUUGUGCACAAACACAAAACACAAAACACAAACACAAACACACCUAGUCGGGGACUUGACUUGGCAUUUUUCGGCCCUGCUCGGGGGCUUGUACCGAGCCGCCACCCCAGUUUUUAGACCCCACUAGGGGGCUUGUUAUGGCCGGCCAUGUCGUUUUUUGUGUGGAAUGGAAUUUGCCAAGACCGCCGGUUCGACCACCUCUUUAGGUGCACCCAUGUGUCGCACAUCAAAAUGAUGCCCCUCGUGUGCUCUAUGCAUGACCCGAUGCGAUGGGCGCGUUCGUGCGGGCGUGUUCGAUCUGGACGCUCGCCUCGCCAAAGUUCGGUCCCCCCCGGCCAAUUUUGACCCCCUUUUUUCGUAUUUUAAUUCUCGCGCCCCAACGGCUGCGAUUUUCCACCUUCCCAUUGCUAUCCGAUGCUCCCCGCGCUCUGGCCUAUCCAACGAACCCAGCCUCGCCCGUGCACCUAUCCGUUUGCCCUCGUUGACCCUCCCAAACGCCUGACAUCACCUAUGCCAUUUAUGCAACAAAUUCGACCUCACGCCCGUGCAAUCACAAGUACGCACAAACAAACGUAUAUGCACGCAACCACACCCCCAGGCACACACACAAACGUGCACACCGACACGACACGCAAACACACGGAUGCACAAACGCGAACGCACCGAAAAACACGCAGACGCACAAACGCAACACACGCAACACACACGCCCACAAACAUGCGCACGGACACGAACGACACAACAGGGGGACACAACAAAUGCCAACGCACACGCACAAGCAUGCACAAACACGACAUGCACUCAAACACACCGGCACAACAUUUAAAAUUGGUCUCAAACACCACACAGGCACCACACACAAACACGCACAGACACGCCCAUGCGGGGUGGGAGGGGGGGCUUGUCCCUCUGGCUCGAUGCACGUGGUCACGCUUGUGGGUUUGUGUGUGUGUGUGUGUGUGCUUUUGCCUUCACGUUGUUGUGCCACACACACACAAACACGACCUCAUGAAAAAAAACACGUUUGCUUGGGGGCUUGCUCUAGGGACUUUGCUGCUGCAAGGUGUCUCGGCCGGGCCGGUGGCCGGAAAAAUCCCGGCAAACCGCAAACCGGCCGGAGCACUUUUCUGGCACCUAAACUGGUCGGACCGUCCGAAAGUAUAUAU